AGCUCAACCUUCAGAUUGUUUUAUGGUACCUUUACAUCUCGGUAUUCAAGAACUACAAGUCGAUGCUUUAUUAGACUCGGAUGCAUCCGCUUGCUUUAUAGAUGAAGAGUUUGCCAAGCUUCACAAUAUUUCUCUUGUAAAGAAACUUAAGCCUGUCCAUGUAGAAGUCCGUCAUUUGUUAUCCAUGAAAGGACACGAAGACAAUGAUCGUCCGGCAACGAUAUCCAUAAAACUAAACCAUUGAAGGUACGUCUUGAAAACCAUGAGAGCAAUAUUGUGUUUA
rnacentral:lncRNA from 1 species